AUUGAACGCUGGCGGCAGGCCUAACACAUGCAAGUCGAGCGAGCGGCGGACGGGUGAGUAAUGUCUGGGGACUGCCCGAUGGAGGGGGAUAACUACUGGAAACGGUAGCUAAUACCGCAUCCUAUCAUAUAACCCAUAUGGGAUUAGCUAGUUGGUGAGGUAAUGGCUCACCAAGGCGACGAUCCCUAGCUGGUCUGAGAGGAUGAUCAGCCACACUGGGACUGAGACACGGCCCAGACUCCUACGGAGGCAGCAGUGGUGAUGAUUGCACAAUGGGCGCAAGCCUGAUGCAGCCAUGCCGCGUGUAUGAAGAAGGCCCUAGGGGUGUAAAGUACUUUCAGUCGGGAGGCGUUACCGGCAGAAGAAGCACCGGCUAACUCCGUGCCAGCAGCCGCGGUAAUUC
rnacentral:rRNA from 1 species